GGGUAGCCGGCCUGAGAGGGUGACCGGCCACACUGGGACUGAGACACGGCCCAGACUCCUACGGGAGGCAGCAGUGGGGAAUAUUGCACAAUGGGCGAAAGCCUGAUGCAGCAACGCCGCGUGAGGGAUGACGGCCUUCGGGUUGUAAACCUCUUUUAGCAGGGAAGAAGCGAAAGUGACGGUACCUGCAGAAAAAGCGCCGGCUAACUACGUGCCAGCAGCCGCGGUAAUACGUAGGGCGCAAGCGUUAUCCGGAAUUAUUGGGCGUAAAGAGCUCGUAGGCGGUUUGUCGCGUCUGCUGUGAAAUCCCGAGGCUCAACCUCGGGCCUGCAGUGGGUACGGGCAGACUAGAGUGCGGUAGGGGAGAUUGGAAUUCCUGGUGUAGCGGUGGAAUGCGCAGAUAUCAGGAGGAACACCGAUGGCGAAGGCAGAUCUCUGGGCCGUAACUGACGCUGAGGAGCGAAAGGGUGGGGAGCAAACAGGCUUAGAUACCCUGGUAGUCCACCCCGUAAACGUUGGGAACUAGUUGUGGGGUCCAUUCCACGGAUUCCGUGACGCAGCUAACGCAUUAAGUUCCCCGCCUGGGGAGUACGGCCGCAAGGCUAAAACUCAAAGGAAUUGACGGGGACCCGCACAAGCGGCGGAGCAUGCGGAUUAAUUCGAUGCAACGCGAAGAACCUUACCAAGGCUUGACAUAUAC
rnacentral:rRNA from 1 species